AUUUGGUCAAGCUAGUAAGGGCGCAUGGUGAAUGCCUUGGCACCAAGAGGCGAUGAAGGACGUGAUAAGCUGCGAAAAGCUUCGGGGAGCGGCAAAUACGCUUUGAUCCGGAGAUGUCCGAAUGGGGAAACCCAGCCCGAGUAAUAUUGGGUUACUGGAGUCUGAAUACAUAGGGCUUCAGAGCGAUACCAGGGGAAGUGAAACAUCUCAGUACCCUGAGGAAAAGAAAACGAAGUGAUUCCCUCAGUAGUGGCGAGCGAAAGGGGACAAGCCUAAACCUCGGUGUUUACACCGGGGGGUCGUGGGACUUGGUUAUGAGAUCCGAGUGGAUAGCGGAACGAUCUGGAAAGUUCGUCCAUAGAAGGUGAUAGACCUGUACGCGAAAUCUGCAGAGACUCUACAAGUAUCCCGAGUAAAACGGGACACGUGAAACCCCGUUUGAAUCUGCCCCGUCCACGGGGUAAGGCUAAAUACUACUUGGUGACCGAUAGUGAACUAGUACCGCGAGGGAAAGGUGAAAAGAACCCCUGUUAGGGGAGUGAAAUAGAACCUGAAACCGUGUGCCUACAAGGUGUCGUAGCUCCGCGCAAGCGGGGUGGCGGCUUGCCUUUUGCAUAAUGAGUCCGCGAGUUACUGUGUGUAGCAAGGUUAAGCUGUUCAGCAGCGGAGCCGUAGCGAAAGCGAGUGCUAACUGCGCGUUUAGUUGCAUGCAGUAGACCCGAAGCCGAGUGAUCUACCCAUGGCCAGGAUGAAGUUUCGGUAACACGAAAUGGAGGUCCGAACCCGUUCACGUUGAAAAGUGUUGGGAUGAGCUGUGGGUAGGAGCGAAAGACUAAUCAAACUCGGUGAUAGCUGGUUCUCCUCGAGAUAACUUUAGGGUUAGCCUGCGCGAAUGCACGUCAUGGAGGUAGAGCACUGAUCGGUCUAGGGAUCUUACCAGAUUACCAAAGCCAGUCAAACUCCGAAUGCCAUGGCCGUCACGCGUGGAGAUAGACUGUGAGGGAUAAGCUUCAUAGUCGCGAGGGAAAAAGCCCAGAUCGCCGGCUAAGGCCCUCAAUGAUAGUUCAGUGCAUAAGGAUGUGAAAUCGCUCAGACAGCAAGGAUGUUGGCUUAGAGGCAGCCACCAUUUAAACAGUGCGUAAUAGCUGACUUGCCAAGUGAUUUCGCGCCGAAAAUGAUCGGGACUAAACUAUCAGCCGAAGCCGCGGAUUGUACUCCUUCGGGAGUGCAGUGGUAGAGGAGCGUACUGUCGGGGUUGAAGCGGAAGGGAAACCGACCGUGGACCUUACAGUAGUGAUUAUGCGGACAUGAGUAACGAUAAGCUAGGUGAGAAUCCUAGCCGCCGAAAUCCCAAGAUUUCCUGGGGAAGGUUCGUCCGCCCAGGGUUAGUCGGCCCCUAAGCUGAGGCCUAAUGGCGUAAGCGAUGGGAAACAGGUUCAAUAUUCCUGUACCGUCGAGUGUGAGUGAUGGAGUGACGCAGGAAGCUAGGUCAGCCACCGGUUGGAAAUGGUGGUCCAAGCGCGUAGGAAGUUCGAAUAGGAAAAUCCGUUUGAACAAUUCUGAAACGUGAUGGGACGGAGCGUCUUCGGACAAUCUGGAUUGAUUGAUGCUAUGCUGCCGAGAAAUAACUUCUAAACGUUGAUCACUAGGCGACCGUAUCGUAAACCGACACAGGUGGGAGAGAAGAGUAUUCUAAGGCGCGCGAGAGAAACCUCGUUAAGGAACUCGGCAAAUUAGCCCCGUAUCUUUGGUAGAAGGGGUCCUCCCCGGAGUUAGUUUAAUCGCGAAGCUCUGGAGAGGCGCAGUGAAGAGGCCCAAGCGACUGUUUAGCAAAAACACAGCACUCUGCUAAAUCGAAAGAUGACGUAUAGGGUGUGACACGUGACCAAUGCCGAAAGGUUAAGGCAAGGGGUUAGCCGCAAGGCGAAGCUUCGACCCGAAGCCCCGGUGAAUGUCGGCCGUAACUAUAACGGUCCUAAGGUAGCGAAAUUCCUUGUCGGGUAAGUUCCGACCUGCACGAAUCGUGUAACGACUUGGGCGCUGUCUCAACGAGGAUCUCGGUGAAGUUGUAACUCCGGUGAAAAUGCCGGAUACCCACAGUAGGACGGAAAGACCCUGUGAACCUUUACUGUAGUCUGAUAUUGGGUUCUGGAUUAUUAUAUGUAGCAUAGCUGGGAGGCUUUGAAGCUUCGGCGUCAGCCGGGGUGGAGCCAACAGUGAAAUACCAGUUUUAAUCAUUCGGAAUUCUAACUCGAAUCCGUUAGCCGGAUCGGGGACAGUGUCAGAGGGUCAGUUUGACUGGGGCGGUUUCCUCCUAAAAAGUAACGGAGGAGUUCGAAGGUUCCCUCAGCACGGUCGGCAAUCGUGCGCAGAGCAUAUAGGUAUAAGGGAGCUUGACUGCGAGACCUACAAGUCGAGCAGGUGCGAAAGCAGGACUAAGUGAUCCGGUGGUUGCUAGUGGUAGCGCCAUCGCUCAACGGACAAAAGGUACUCCGGGGAUAACAGGCUGAUCGCUGCCAAGAGUCCAUAUCGACGUAGCGGUUUGGCACCUCGAUGUCGGCUCAUCGCAUCCUGGGGCUGGAGAAGGUCCCAAGGGUUUGGCUGUUCGCCAAUUAAAGCGGUACGCGAGCUGGGUUCAGAACGUCGUGAGACAGUUCGGUCCUUAUCCACUGUGGGCGCAGGAAAUUUGAAGAGAGCAUUCCUUAGUACGAGAGGACCGGGAAUGACGUACCUCUGGUGUUCCAGUUGUUCCGCCAAGGAGCAUCGCUGGGUAGCUAUGUACGGAAAGGAUAAGCGCUGAAAGCAUCUAAGCGCCAAGCCCCCUCUAAGAUAAGAUUUCCCUUCCCUUCGGGGACUGAAGGCCGGUUGAAGACUACAACCUUGAUAGGCUGGGUGUGUAAGACCUGCGAAGGUUUCAGCUAACCAGUACUAAUCGGCCGUGAGGCUUGACCUUUAUCA
rnacentral:rRNA from 1 species